AAUGAACGUUGGCGGCGUGGAUUAGGCAUGCAAGUCGAGCGCGAUACCUCCUUCGGGAGGUGGAAAGCGGCGAAAGGGAGAGGAACACGUGGAUUAUCUGCCCCUGGAACCAGGAUAGCUGCGGGAAACUGCAGGUAAUACUGGAUAAUGUCUCCGGACCAAAGGUGUGAUUCCGUCCAGGGAUGAGUCUGCGUCCUAUUAGCUAGUUGGCAGGGUAACGGCCUACCAAGGCGAUGAUGGGUACCGGGUGUGAGAGCAUGGCCCGGCUCACUGGGACUGAGACACUGCCCAGACACCUACGGGUGGCUGCAGUCGAGGAUCUUCGGCAAUGGGCGCAAGCCUGACCGAGCGACGCCGCGUGCGGGAUGAAGGCCUUCGGGUUGUAAACCGCUGUCAGAGGGGAUGAAAUACUCAUGGGUUCUCCCAUGGGCUUGACAUAUCCUCAGAGGAAGUACGGGCUAAGUUCGUGCCAGCCGCCGCGGUAAUAC
rnacentral:rRNA from 1 species